rnacentral:rRNA from 1 species
UGGGGAAUAUUGGACAAUGGGCGAAAGCCUGAUCCAGCCAUGCCGCGUGUGUGAGGAAGGUCUUCGGAUUGUAAAGCACUUUAAGUUGGGAGGAAGGGCAGUAAGUUAAUACCUUGCUGUUUUGACGUUACCGACAGAAUAAGCACCGGCUAACUCUGUGCCAG